rnacentral:rRNA from 1 species
GACGAACGCUGGCGGCGUGCUUAACACAUGCAAGUCGAACGGAAAGGCCCUGCUUGCAGGGUACUCGAGUGGCGAACGGGUGAGUAACACGUGGGUGAUCUGCCCUGCACUUCGGGAUAAGCCUGGGAAACUGGGUCUAAUACCGGAUAGGAGCCAUUUUUAGUGUGAUGGUUGGAAAGUUUUUUCGGUGUAGGAUGAGCUCGCGGCCUAUCAGCUUGUUGGUGGGGUAAUGGCCUACCAAGGCGGCGACGGGUAGCCGGCCUGAGAGGGUGGACGGCCACAUUGGGGCUGAGAUACGGCCCAGACUCCUACGGGAGGCAGCAGUGGGGAAUAUUGCACAAUGGGCGCAAGCCUGAUGCAGCGACGCCGCGUGGGGGAUGACGGCCUUCGGGUUGUAAACUCCUUUCGCUAGGGACGAAGCUUUUUGUGACGGUACCUAGAUAAGAAGCACCGGCUAACUACGUG